ensembl:snRNA U2 U2 spliceosomal RNA
AUCAAUUCUUGGCUUUUUGGCUAGUCAACUGUAGAAUAUGUUCUUAUCAGUUUAAUAAUUGAUACUUCCUCUAUCUGAGGACAAAUAAAAAUGAUAAUUCCUGGGGGGCUGGGUGGUGGCACACUCACUUAAUUGCACACAGUUA